rnacentral:rRNA from 1 species
ACGCUGGCGGCAGGCCUAACACAUGCAAGUCGAGCGGUAGAGAGAAGCUUGCUUCUCUUGAGAGCGGCGGACGGGUGAGUAAUGCCUAGGAAUCUGCCUGGUAGUGGGGGAUAACGUUCGGAAACGGACGCUAAUACCGCAUACGUCCUACGGGAGAAAGCAGGGGACCUUCGGGCCUUGCGCUAUCAGAUGAGCCUAGGUCGGAUUAGCUAGUUGGUGAGGUAAUGGCUCACCAAGGCGACGAUCCGUAACUGGUCUGAGAGGAUGAUCAGUCACACUGGAACUGAGACACGGUCCAGACUCCUACGGGAGGCAGCAGUGGGGAAUAUUGGACAAUGGGCGAAAGCCUGAUCCAGCCAUGCCGCGUGUGUGAAGAAGGUCUUCGGAUUGUAAAGCACUUUAAGUUGGGAGGAAGGGUUGUAGAUUAAUACUCUGCAAUUUUGACGUUACCGACAGAAUAAGCACCGGCUAACUCUGUGCCAGCAGCCGCGGUAAUACAGAGGGUGCAAGCGUUAAUCGGAAUUACUGGGCGUAAAGCGCGCGUAGGUGGUUUGUUAAGUUGGAUGUGAAAUCCCCGGGCUCAACCUGGGAACUCCAUUCAAAACUGACUGACUAGAGUAUGGUAGAGGGUGGUGGAAUUUCCUGUGUACCGGUGAAAUGCGUAGAUAUAGGAAGGAACACCAGUGGCGAAGGCGACCACCUGGACUAAUACUGACACUGAGGUGCGAAAGCGUGGGGAGCAAACAGGAUUA